AGGCUGCUGUGGAUCCGUGGGCCUUGAAGGCUUUGGUUUCUUUAUUCUGUUUCCAAAUCAACCUUUAAUUCUGCAAAAUGACUUAGAAUAUUGACUUUAAAAAUCAGCAGCUCCUGGGCUUUAGGGAGCUGUUAUGAUAUCGAGAAUAGAAUAACUAGCUCUGUGGUUGCCGAACUCUGAUCUUUGGAAGUUGCCUGUCCAAGAUGGAUUUUCUAUUGGUGGAGAGUAAAUGAGAGAAAAAAGGACAAUACACAUUUGUGAACUGAGACAGUUCCUGCUAUGUGGAUGGUGCAGAAUCCAGCAGUUAGAAAAGUGCUGAAGACUAAGGUGGCACAGACCUGGGAUGAACACCUUCAAGGGCAGCACUGUCCAAGAGAAAGAUGAUGUAAGCCACAGAUACAAUUUUUUAUUUUCUAGUAGCCACAUUAAGAAAGUAAAAAGAAACAGAAAUUAUAUACUUUGUUGAACUCAGUAUACCUAUAAUAUUAUUUCAAAAAAUAAUAAUGAAAAACAUUAUAAGGAGAUAUUUUCACUUUAAUUUUCUGUACAGGUCUUGCAGGUGUAUUUUAUACUUAGAGAAUGUCUUAAUUCAGACUAGUCAUGUUUCAAGUGCUCCACAGUCACAGGUGGCUGGUGGCUACUAUAUUUGAGGCUACAGAUCUAGAAAUAUAGACUUCUUGUUUGUCUUGUUCAGCACUACCUUUUUAAUGCUGAGAGGAAGCCUGUUUUCCAAUAGUCACUCAAUAAAAACUUUUACUGAAUAAAUGAAUGUCCCUCUCCGAA